rnacentral:rRNA from 1 species
UCCUACGGGAGGCAGCAGUGGGGAAUAUUGGACAAUGGGGGCAACCCUGAUCCAGCCAUGCCGCGUGUGUGAAGAAGGCCCUCGGGUUGUAAAGCACUUUCAGCGAGGAAGAACGCCUAGCGGUUAAUACCCGCUAGGAAAGACAUCACUCGCAGAAGAAGCACCGGCUAACUCCGUGCCAGCAGCCGCGGUAAUACGGAGGGUGCAAGCGUUAAUCGGAAUUACUGGGCGUAAAGCGCGCGUAGGUGGCUUGAUAAGCCGGUUGUGAAAGCCCCGGGCUCAACCUGGGAACGGCAUCCGGAACUGUCAAGCUAGAGUGCAGGAGAGGAAGGUAGAAUUCCCGGUGUAGCGGUGAAAUGCGUAGAGAUCGGGAGGAAUACCAGUGGCGAAGGCGGCCUUCUGGACUGACACUGACACUGAGGUGCGAAAGCGUGGGUAGCAAACAGGAUUAGAUACCCUGGUAGUCCACGCCGUAAACGAUGUCGACCAGCCGUUGGGUGCCUAGCGCACUUUGUGGCGAAGUUAACGCGAUAAGUCGACCGCCUGGGGAGUACGGCCGCAAGGUUAAAACUCAAAUGAAUUGCCGG